rnacentral:rRNA from 1 species
CCUACGGGCGGCAGCAGUCGAGAAUCAUUCACAAUGGGGGAAACCCUGAUGGUGCGACGCCGCGUGGGGGAAUGAAGGUCUUCGGAUUGUAAACCCCUGUCAUGUGGGAGCAAAUUAAAAAGAUAGUACCACAAGAGGAAGAGACGGCUAACUCUGUUCCAGCAGCCGCGGUAAUACAGAGGUCUCAAGCGUUGUUCGGAAUCACUGGGCGUAAGGCGUGCGUAGGCGGUUUCGUAAGUCGUGUGUGAAAGGCGCGGGCUCAACCCGCGGACGGCACAUGAUACUGCGAGACUAGAGUAAUGGAGGGGGAACCGGAAUUCUCGGUGUAGCAGUGAAAUGCGUAGAUAUCGAGAGGAACACUCGUGGCGAAGGCGGGUUCCUGGACAUUAACUGACGCUGAGGCACGAAGGCCAGGGGAGCGAAAGGGAUUAGAUACCCUGGUAGUC